rnacentral:lncRNA from 1 species
UCAGCUUUUAAAGAAUCAAUGGAUGAAAAAUGUAAUUGAUGUAUUAUAUUGAAAUAAAAUAGUAUUUGAGAUGUGAAAUUGAAAUAUUUAAAAGAUAUUAUAAGAAAUUGAAAUCGAUCACAAAUCUAAGGUGGUAAAGUGUAAUUUACCCAAUAAACAAAGUUGUAUAAUCAUUAUCAUUCAAUUGUUAGGCUCUAAUUCAUCAUUUUCUCACUAUUCAUCUUUACUUAUUUGUUUUCUCUUUAAUUUUCAAAUAUUUCUACGCGGUUAAUAUAUAACAGUAAUUACAUAUGUAUGCGGCAAACAACGGAUGUUAUACUGAAUAUACGAAAAUGGAUUUCGAAAAAAAAUCAUUGGUCCAAAGUAUAAUACUGACAUGUGUAUUAGGGGUGGGCAUGGGCAGGGCCGGGCCCAAAUUUGAAGGAAC